UAUCUCUUGUGGUAAGAUUCCUAUUUUAAGUUUUUAAAAAACUUUUACGGUUGAAACAAACUUGAAAUGUUUUUUUAGUGCAUUUUAAUUGUUGCAUUGUUCUGUUGUAUUCAAAAUGGCAAUGCUGAUGAUGAUGAUGAUCGCGUCAGGGAGCUGCAAACAUAUUUUAUAACUAACGUGGAUAAGGCGACUUAUUUAUUGUCCCCGGAAAAUGCUACCUCUUAUAUAAAAAGCCACUAUUCUGUGGAUAAAACAUAUUCGGCUGGCCUCUGUUGGAUUGAAUUGCUGAGCGAAAUUAAGAGCAACGGGGAAAUAUUCUUAGGAUAAUGAAGAAAUAGCUAACGCGAAAUAUACUGGUAUAUAAUAUACAGUACAUAAUAUUAUUUAUUUAUA